UACCAGACUCCUACGGGAGGCAGCAGUGGGGAAUAUUGCACAAUGGGGGAAACCCUGAUGCAGCGACGCCGCGUGAGUGAAGAAGUAUUUCGGUAUGUAAAGCUCUAUCAGCAGGGAAGAAAAUGACGGUACCUGACUAAGAAGCCCCGGCUAACUACGUGCCAGCAGCCGCGGUAAUACGUAGGGGGCAAGCGUUAUCCGGAUUUACUGGGUGUAAAGGGAGCGUAGACGGCAUGGCAAGUCAGAUGUGAAAGCCCGGGGCUCAACCCCGGGACUGCAUUUGAAACUGUCAGGCUGGAGUGCAGGAGAGGUAAGUGGAAUUCCUAGUGUAGCGGUGAAAUGCGUAGAUAUUAGGAGGAACACCGGCGGCGAAGGCGGCCUGCUGGACCGCGACUGACGUUGAGGCUCGAAAGCGUGGGGAGCGAACAGGAUUAGAUACCCGUGUAC
rnacentral:rRNA from 1 species